GGAAGUAAAAGUCGUAACAAGGUCUCCGUUGGUGAACCAGCGGAGGGAUCAUUAUCGAGUUACCUACUCAUUACACCCUUAUGUGAACCUACCGAGUCGUUGCGUCGGCGGGUGCCGGGAUUCGUCCCGCGCCUGCCGGUCUCGCAGCCUCAGAAACUCUUCUUUAGUCUUUAGUAGUAAUUAAAUGCUGAGUGCAAACACACAAACAGUCAAAACUUUCAACAACGGAUCUCUUGGCUCUGGCAUCGAUGAAGAACGCAGCGAAAUGCGAUAAGUAAUGUGAAUUGCAGAAUUCCGCGAAUCAUCGAAUCUUUGAACGCACAUUGCGCCCGGCGGUAUUCUGCCGGGCAUGCCUGUUCGAGCGUCAUUUCAACCCUCAAGCUCCGCUUGGUGUUGGGAAGUCCCGUGCCUCGGCGCGCGGGACCCCCGAAAUGAAGUGGGCUGUCCCAACCGACACACCUUGCGUAGUAAAGUCUCUUUGUCUCGCAACGGCGCGCGGAUGGCGGCAAGCCGUUAACCUACAUACAUAUUUUUUUGUGGUUGACCUCGAAUCAGGUAGGAGGACCCGCUGAACUUAAGCAUAUCAAUAAGCGGAGGA
rnacentral:sRNA from 1 species